CAAAACUUAGUGUUGCCGUGUGCUGUCUAAACAUAAGAUGCAAAAUAGGGCAGUGUGGGAUUUGGGACAGAAAGGGUAUCAGCAUUAGCUCUGAAGUGUGACCAAGGGACUUGUUGUGAGGAGCAUGCAGGGUUUUCAGCCUCGUCCCUCCUUGCAGCAGCCUUUUAGCACUCACCUUCCCUGCUGGGCUGAGCACCGUGCUCCUUGGGCCUUUCCCUGUGGGGAGGGAUUCCCCAGGGCUCGGAUGUCCUUGGAAGGAGAAAGCUGAAGGGAUUUGUGGUGUCCCAGAGCCGAGUGAUCAGGAAAUAGCUGUGGAGGGCUUUGCUGGCUGCUGGGGUGGCUUAGAGCCAGCUCA